UACGAAGGUGGCAAGCGUUACUCGGAAUUACUAGGCGUAAAGGGCAGGUAGGCGGUUUGAUAAGUCUGUUGUGUAAGCUCCCGGCUUAACUGGGAGAGGUCAACAGAUACUGUCAGGCUUGAGUAUAGGAGAGGUUACUGGAAUUCCCGGUGUAGCGGUGAAAUGCGCAGAUAUCGGGAGGAACACCAAUGGCGAAAGCAGGUAACUGGACUAUUACUGACGCUCAGCUGCGAAAGCUAGGGGAGCAAACAGG
rnacentral:rRNA from 1 species